UACGUAGGGACCAAGCGUUGUUCGGAUUUACUGGGCGUAAAGGGCGCGUAGGCGGCAAUUCAAGUCAUCUGUGAAAUCUCCGGGCUUAACUCGGAACGGUCAGGUGAUACUGCUUUGCUAGAGUGCGGAAGGGGCAAUCGGAAUUCUCGGUGUAGCGGUGAAAUGCGUAGAUAUCGAGAGGAACACCUGAGGCGAAGGCGGGUUGCUAGGCUGACACUGACGCUGAGUGCGCGAAAGCCAGGGGAGCAAACGGG
rnacentral:rRNA from 1 species